UCCGGACCGUAGCUGUCAACUUUUUCCUUUUCUUGCGAGGAAUCCUAUUUGGAAUAAGGGAAUUUCCCUUGAAGAAAGGGAAAUUGUUGACAGCUAUGAUCUGGA